rnacentral:lncRNA from 1 species
GUUGACUCUGACACACAUACCAAUACAUAUGUUUUAUCUUUGAUAUCUUCAAUUCUCUACUAAAAAAAAUUAUAAAAAUUUAAUAUUUUAAAAAUACUCAUCGAGACGAAUCCAACAACAUCUUACAUGAUAUUAUUUAUCUUUGUGAAUUAGUAUAAAAGUAUAGUCAAAGUAUGUCAAGUCAAUUAUGUAUAUUGUCAACUGGGUCAUUUAUUUAGGGAC